AUUGUACUCCCUCCGUUCGGAAUUACUUGUCGCAUAAAUGGAUGUAUCUAGACGUAUUUUAGUUCUAGAUACACCCAUUUCUGAGACAAGUAAUUCCGAACGGAGGGAGUAGCAG
rnacentral:pre_miRNA from 1 species